rnacentral:rRNA from 1 species
ACGGGUGAGUAACGCGUAGGAAUCUACCUUGUAGCGGGGGACAACCCGGGGAAACUCGGGCUAAUACCGCAUAAUAAUCGAGAGAUGAAAGUAUGGGACCUUUGGGCCAUACGCUAUAAGAUGAGCCUGCGUUGGAUUAGCUAGUUGGUGGGGUAAAGGCCUACCAAGGCGACGAUCCAUAACUGGUCUGAGAGGAUGACCAGUCACACUGGGACUGAGACACGGCCCAGACUCCUACGGGAGGCAGCAGUGGGGAAUAUUGGACAAUGGGGGCAACCCUGAUCCAGCAAUGCCGCGUGUGUGAAGAAGGCCUGCGGGUUGUAAAGCACUUUUAGUGAUGAGGAAGGGUGAGAUGUUAAUAGCAUUUUACUUUGACGUUAGUCACAGAAAAAGCACCGGCUAACUCUGUGCCAGCAGCCGCGGUAAUACAGAGGGUGCAAGCGUUAAUCGGAAUGACUGGGCGUAAAGGGUGCGUAGGUGGCGAUAUAGGUUAGUUGUGAAAGCCCCGGGCUUAACCUGGGAACUGCAAUUGAUACUGUAUGGCUAGAGUUUGGUAGAGGGUAGUGGAAUUUCCGGUGUAGCGGUG